rnacentral:rRNA from 1 species
GACGAACGCUGGCGGCGCGCUUAACACAUGCAAGUCGAACGGAAAGGCCCUGUUCUUGUGGGGUUCUCGAGUGGCGAACGGGUGAGUAACACGUGAGUAACCUGCCCUGGACUUAGGGAUAACGUCAUGAAACUGGGGCUAAUACCGGAUAGGACCUCCUGCUCCAUGGAGGUGGUUGGAAAGUUUCGGCGGUUCGGGAUGGACUCCCGGCUUCUCAGCUUGGUGGUGGGGUAGUGGCUUACCGACGCGUUGACGGGUAGCCGGCCUGAGAGGGUGGCCGGCCACGCUGGGACUGGAGGACGGCCCAGCCUCCUACGGGAGGCAGUGGUGGGGAAUAUUGCCCAAUGGGCCGAAGCCUGAUGCAGCAACGCCGCGUGCGGGAUGACGGCCUCCGGGUUGUAAACCGCUUUCGCCUGUGCCGAAGCCUGAGUGACGGUAAUGGGUAAAGAAGCACCGGCUAACUACGUG